rnacentral:rRNA from 1 species
GACGAACGCUGGCGGCAAGCUCAACACAUGCAAGUCGAACGCCGUAGCAAUACGGAGUGGCAGACGGGUGAGUAACACGUGGGAACGUGCCUUUCGGUUCGGAACAACUGAGGGAAACUUCAGCUAAAACCGGAUACGCCCUUCGGGGGAAAGUUUACGCCGAAAGAUCGGCCCGCGUCAGAUUAGGUAGUUGGCGGGGUAAUGGCCCACCAAGCCGAUGAUCUGUAGCUGUUCUGAGAGGAAGAUCAGCCACACUGGGACUGAGACACGGCCCAGACUCCUACGGGAGGCAGCAGUGGGGAAUAUUGGACAAUGGGCGCAAGCCUGAUCCAGCUAUGCCGCGUGGAUGAAGAAGGCCUUCGGGUUGUAAAGUCCUUUCGGCGGGGAAGAUAAUGACGGUACCCGCAGAAGAAGCCCCGGCUAAUUUCGUGCCAGCCGCCGCAGUAA